UACGAGUGCCCCAAGCGUUGUCCGGAAUCACUGGGCGUAAAGGGUCCGUAGGCGGUCAUGUUAGUCUUCUGUUAAAUCGCAGAGCUCAACUCUGCGUCCGCAGGGGAAACGGCAUGACUUGAGAGCAGAAGAGGUGCAUGGAACUCACGGUGUAGGGGUGAAAUCCGUUGAUAUCGUGGGGAACACCAAAGGCGAAGGCAGUGCACUGGUCUGUUUCUGACGCUGAGGAGCGAAAGCGUGGGGAGCAAACAGG
rnacentral:misc_RNA from 1 species